rnacentral:lncRNA from 1 species
ACUGUUGCGAAUUCCUGUCCCGGUCGUCGGGCAGCCACUGGACACUUGCCCAUCUUUCAGCCUUUAAAUUGAGAGGAACCACCGAAGAACGCAUGCACAGUGUUUCCCAAAAGCCCUGUAUCCUUGGGAGCAACCAAGAUGUAAUCGGUCAGAGAAAUGGUUUCUUCCUGGAUCCAUGUGAGUUAAACUGUUGUGGGACUGGAGACACUCGCGCCUGCAGAGUUGUGGUGACAAGCAAGCCCUCCUCUUUGCUCCCUGUCUGAAGUCUGCAUAUUCCAUGAAUCCUUGAGGGAGCCUGAUUCUUAUAAGGUGUCAAAUUGGGGGCUGUGGUCAGAAUCACAGAAUGUAAAACUGUGUCUAGCUAGAGGACACAGAGAAGAGUCUGGGUGUUUCAGAAGACUGAAGGAUUGGUGACAAUAUUUUGGUUAAGAUACCAAUUUUGAUGUUCACCGUUGUUGGGUCCAGCUUGCAGCUGGGAAAUCUUUUGUUGAUAGAAGGGAAUAUGGGGGAUUCUCGCUGCGUUUGGAGAGAGUACUUGAUUGCUGAUUAAAAUCUGCAUCGCUAAUGCAAACCUGAA